rnacentral:rRNA from 1 species
UACAGAGGGUGCAAGCGUUAAUCGGAAUUACUGGGCGCAAAGGGCAUGUAGGUGGGUAUUUAAGUCGAUUGUGAAAGCCCCGAGCUUAACUUGGGAACUGCAGUCGAUACUGAAUACCUAGAGUAUGGUAGAGGGAAGUGGAAUUUCCGGUGUAGCGGUGAAAUGCGUAGAGAUCGGCAGGAACACCCAGGGGGAAACCAGCCGACUGGGCAUCUACUGACGCUGAGGUGCGAGAGCGUGGGGAGCGAACCGG